CCUACGGGUGGCAGCAGUGAGGAAUAUUGGUCAAUGGACGAGAGUCUGAACCAGCCAAGUAGCGUGAAGGAUGACUGCCCUAUGGGUUGUAAACUUCUUUUAUAUGGGAAUAAAAUGUUCCACGUGUGGGAUUUUGUAUGUACCAUAUGAAUAAGGAUCGGCUAACUCCGUGCCAGCAGCCGCGGUAAUCCGGAGGAUCCGAGCGUUCUCCGGAUUUAUUGGGUUUAAAGGGAGCGUAGGUGGAUUGUUAAGUCAGUUGUGAAAGUUUGCGGCUCAACCGUAAAAUUGCAGUUGAAACUGGCAGUCUUGAGUACAGUAGAGGUAGGCGGAAUUCGGGGUGUAGCGGGGAAAUGCUUAGAUAUCACGAAGAACUCCGAUGGCGAAGGCAGUUCACUGGACUGCAACUGACACUGAGGCUCGAAAGUGUGGGUAUCAAACAGGAUUAGAUACCCGAGUAGUC
rnacentral:rRNA from 1 species